UACAGAAGUUUCCAGGCUAGGAGUCGAAUCUGAGCUACAGCUGCCUACCCACACAGCAAUGGGGGAACCGAGCUAUGUCUGCGACCUACACCACAGCUCACAACACUGCUGGAUCCUUAGCCCACUGAGCAAGGCCAGGGAUCUAACCCAAAUCCUCAUGGAUACUAGUUGUGUUCGUUAACCACUGAGCCACAAAGGGAACUCCCUAAUAGCAGAAAUCUUAAGGUAAUAUGGUAAUAGCAGAAUCUUAAGGUAACCUUUUUUUUUUCUUCCCUUUCCCCUGAAUUAUCUCCAUUUUCCCCGAUGUACUUGCUCUUCAACAUGUAGGAGGAGAUGGCCUUUUUGGCUCACACGUCUUUGGGUUUCCUUUUUAUAUAUAUAAAGGAAUGUCAUCUCUACCCAAGCUUACGGAACAGUUUCAAGGCUGUGGCUUUGCACCUUCCCAUCUGCAAAGAACUGCAUUCCAGUCACCUAUCAGAGAUGACCUCCAACUCUUUGCUGCUUAAUGUUUUGCAAAAGCUCAUUUGAAAAUACAUAAUAUAAAUGGAGAAUUGCCUGGAUGUUCUUUCUUUUCCUUUAUAGAAUGAUAGUUUGGCAAAAUGCCAAUGAUGAGAGAUGUUCUAUAAAGCAGUCCUAUAUAAUUCAGUGGUAGUCACCUUGGGGCACUUGAGGAAAUUGAUCAUUGGAGCUCAAAAUAUCCUCUUUAGGCGUACCUGUGAGAAACCUUAAUUCUGAUCUCAGUGCCAGGGACAAACUAGCUCCUUCUAAGAAACUUUAUUUUUAAAAAUUAUGUAACCAAAUGAGAUUUUCCUCUUUGCCUUGGUUGCUAGGAAGACUAGAGCCAAAUUUUCAUCCCAUAGGCACACAUUUUCUACAUCUAACUAACUCUGCCUUAUUUCUCUCUUAUCUUAGUCAUCAUUAUCUCAUUAUACUUUUCUUUUUAUGGCCACAACGGCAGCAUAUAGAAGUUCCCAGACUAGGGGUCGCAAACUGCGGCAAUGCCAGAUCUUUGACCCACUGAGCAAGGCCAAGGAUGGAACCUGGAUCCUGAAAGAGACAAGGUCGGGUCCUUAAUCUAUUAAGCAGCAAUGGGAAUGCCUUUAUUUUUUUUUGCUUUUUAGGGCUGCAUGCACAGCAUAUGGAUGUUCCCAGGCUAGGAGUCGAGUAAGAGCUACAGCUGCUGGCCUAUGCUGCAGCCACAGCAACGCAGGAUCCGAGCAGCAUGGGUGACCUACACCACAGCUCAUGGCAACACCAGAUCCCCGAGCAAGGCCAGCGUUGAAACCCACAUCCUAAUGGAUACUAGUCGGAUUUGUUUCCUUCAUGCUGGGAUGGGAACUCACUAUUCUUAUUUUUUUGUUUUCUUCAAGUUUUCAUGAAACAGGAUAGUUAUAAGAAAAAAGCACUUGCCUUAAUAAGGAAAAACAAAUGUGGAAAAAAUGUCCAUGGAAUGAUGGAAACAUGUGAUCAGAAUUUCCUUUCACUCUUGAGUAAAGAAGACAGCCAGCAUGUUCUUUGUCAAAACUACACUGAUAAAGGAAAAGAAUGCUUCUUCAACUUUCAAUAUUAUCUCCAAGAAUCAUGGACUGUUUUCCAUAAGAAAGCUGGAUCUCCUUAAGAAGUUUGUUUGUUUUUUAAUUUUUUAAUCCCUCUCAGAUGUAUUUACAUUGGGGGGGCUAUCUAUAUUUUCUAAUUUUAAAAAAUUUUUACAUUCAUCUUUUUUAAAUUAUUCAAUGAAUUUUAUUACAUUAUAGUUGUACAACAAUCAUCACAACCAAAUCUUUAAGAAGUUCUGAGCUAGGAGUUUCCAUUGUGGUGCAGCAGAAAGGAAUCUGACUAGUAUUCAUGAAUAUGCGGGUUGCCGUGAGCUGUGCUGUAGGUCGCAGACGCAGGUCAGAUCCCGAGUUGCUGUGGCUGUGGUGUAGGCCAACCCCUAUAUAUAUAUAUAAAAUAUAUAUACCUGAAACUAAUACAACACUGUAAAUCGACUAUGCUUCAAUUUUAAAAAGUAAAAAAGAAUAUUAGGGAUAACAAAAAAAUUUAUUCAUUCUGUCUUUAAUAAGGUAACUAGAGACAUCCCCCUAGACAAGCAGAGAGUAUAUUACUUAUAAUUUGGACAAUAUUUUAUGACAAAUAUGGGCCAGAAAUCUUUCUAACACACAUAUACUCCCCCCCACCACACACACACACACUCUCACCUGUUACUCAGCUGCUUAUUGAUGGAACAUGUCUGGGCAAUUUAGAAUUUUACCUAGGGGUUGCAAAUUGGAAUUCUUAAAUACCACUGCUUACUACUGCUGUGUCCCUGAACUCAAAGGUCCUGCAGAACCUGGAGAAGAGCAAGAAGUCUCAAGAGUGCCACUUCUUAGUGUGUAGUCCUCAUCACAACAGAAGAGCUAAGGUCUCUUUCUGCUCUGAAAUUCCAUGUUGCUUUCCAAGAGGCCAUUCUGCUUUCCCUUAAUGACCAUGGGCACCUCACCAUUUCGCCUCAGUGGGCUCCCCUAAACUUCAGGAGAGCACACCAGGUGCUGGUGGAAUAGCCUUCUGCUCAUUUCUCAGAACUAACCUAGUAGUUCCCUUGUGGCUCAGUGAAACCAUGAGAAUGUGGGUUUGAUCCCUGGUGUCACUCAGCAAGUUAAGGAACCAGCAUGGCUGUGAGCUGUGGUGUAGGUCGCAGAUGCAGCUCAGAUCUGACAUUGCUGUGGCUAUGGUGUAGGUCAGCGGCUAAAGCUCCGAUACGACCUCUAGCCUGGGAAUUUCCAUAUGCCACGAGUGCAGCCGUAAAAGCAAAAAGAAAUUACACAUGUAUCCCAGAACUAAAUGUCACAUCUAAGAGAAGUCCAUGUAAUGUGCUCUACCAUGCUAUAUGCUCCAAAGCACAGAGUUUUAUGGAGGCUUCAAACAUUGGGAUCUCAGCUUUGAUUCUACUAGGAAUGUUAGUAGAUUAUAGAAGGUACAGUCAGCAUAGGCUGGGUACAGACCAUCCUCAUGUGUGUCCGUAAUGAAGCCGCCUGGUGUGGGCUCUGUGGUUAUGGUCCAAGCAUUAUAGGAAUGUCAACACAGUUGAAGAGACUGAACAAAGCCUUACAGAGUUAAAAAUAACAAAAGGAAAGCAAAGUUACACAACAAACAGUGAUGUUUUGUGAUUCCCAACCUCAUCCAAUAUAACAACAUGUAUAUAAUGGCCAAAAUUCCAUAGGACUCCCUCUCACAUCACACUAGCAACCAAGGACAAACAUAACCCUCUGCGAUAGCCUAGAUGGGAAAAGAAUUUGAAAAUGAAUGGAUGUAAAGAUAGGUAUAACUGACUCACUUUGCCAUACACCUGAAGCUAACACAACAUUGUAAGUCAAUUCUACCCCAAUAAUUUUUGUCUUCAUUUUUGUUUAUCUGAAACUGUAUUUUAUUUUCUUUUUUUUCCCUCUGUGCUAAACCUGAGACAGCUUUAGUCAGCAUCAUUUUUAUUUUUUAUAAUGAUUUUUAUUUUUUCCAUUAUAGCUGAUUUACAGUGUUCUGUCAGUUUUCUACUGCACAGUGAGGUGACCCAGUCACACAUACAUGUAUACAUUCUCUUUUCUCACAUUAUCAUGCUCCAUCACAAGUGACCAGACAUAGCUCCCAGUGCUAUAUAGCAGGAUCCCAAUAAUUUUUUAAAAAAGAAGCCAUAAGGAAACUUAAGACUAUAGCGGGGGAUUCUGGGUGGGAAGAGAGGGUGAUGAGCUCACAGAGACAGAAGGGAGCAGGAGGCAUCAGGAGUCCAUACUGAGGGAGUUAGCCUUCAGAAGGAAAGACACUGGAAAUUUCUCAGCAAGAGUAAUGUGUACAGGAGGGAAAGCUGAGAAGAUGAACUAGCAGUCUAACUGCACAUGAUCCUUGGAUGCGCGGGUUUGAACUAUGCAAGUCCACUUACACAG
rnacentral:lncRNA from 1 species